UGGAAGCAAGUAGAGCUAUAUGACC
rnacentral:piRNA from 1 species